CAGCAGCCGCGGUAAUACAGAGGGUGCAAGCGUUAAUCGGAAUUACUGGGCGUAAAGCGCGCGUAGGUGGUUUGUUAAGUUGGAUGUGAAAUCCCCGGGCUCAACCUGGGAACUGCAUCCAAAACUGGCAAGCUAGAGUAUGGUAGAGGGUGGUGGAAUUUCCUGUGUAGCGGUGAAAUGCGUAGAUAUAGGAAGGAACACCAGUGGCGAAGGCGACCACCUGGACUGAUACUGACACUGAGGUGCGAAAGCGUGGGGAGCAAACAGGAUUAGAUACCCCGGUAGUCCCUGUCUCUUAUAA
rnacentral:rRNA from 1 species